rnacentral:tRNA from 1 species
GGAGCGGUGGCCGAGCGGUUGAAGGCAACGGUUUCGAAAACCGUCGAACUCAUACGGGUUCCGGGGGUUCGAAUCCCCCCUGCUCCG